GUUUAAGGUCAUAUAACCCUGAACACACCUAAUCUCGUCUGAUCUCAGAAGCUAUGCAGGGUCAGGCCGGGUUAGUACUUGAAUAGGAGAAUAUACACA
rnacentral:rRNA from 1 species